rnacentral:misc_RNA from 1 species
UUUGUUUGUCUACCCACAGGGUAUAGUACCCAUACUAUAAAUCAUAGACUUUGAGUGCUCU